rnacentral:rRNA from 1 species
UUCGUGGAACGAGCGGCGGACGGGUGAGUAACACGUAGGCAACCUGCCUGUAAGACUGGGAUAACUCGCGGAAACGCGAGCUAAUACCGGAUAAUACUUAUUAUCUCCUGAUGGUAAGUUGAAAGGCGGCUUUUGCUGUCACUUACAGAUGGGCCUGCGGCGCAUUAGCUAGUUGGUGGGGUAAUGGCUCACCAAGGCGACGAUGCGUAGCCGACCUGAGAGGGUGAUCGGCCACACUGGGACUGAGACACGGCCCAGACUCCUACGGGAGGCAGCAGUAGGGAAUCUUCCGCAAUGGACGAAAGUCUGACGGAGCAACGCCGCGUGAGUGAUGAAGGUUUUCGGAUCGUAAAACUCUGUUGUCGGGGAAGAACAAGUAUGAUAGUAACUGAUCGUACCUUGACGGUACCCGACCAGAAAGCCACGGCUAACUACGUGCCAGCAGCCGCGGUAAUACGUAGGUGGCAAGCGUUGUCCGGAAUUAUUGGGCGUAAAGCGCUCGCAGGCGGUUCUUUUAAGUCUGAUGUGAAAUCUUGCGGCUCAACCGUAAACGUGCAUUGGAAACUGGAGGACUUGAGUGCAGAAGAGGAGAGUGGAAUUCCACGUGUAGCGGUGAAAUGCGUAGAGAUGUGGAGGAACACCAGUG